UUAUUUUGUUUGUGUGACCUUUGACUUCCUACGAAGUCACUUCCUCUCAGUCGCCUAGAGGCCCCGCUGAGGAGAGGUGUUCAUGCAGAAGUCCAGUAAAGUGAAGUCGCUGUACUGAGUUAUUUUUAUUUUGAACAGGAACCGAUAAAACCCAAAGCCCGGCAGGACAGUAAUGAUGGAUGACACAUGACAAAGCGUGUGUCAAAGGUCACAGGUCAAGUCUAUGACGUCAGGGCAGCGGCCACCUCACCCCCACCCCCAAGAAAAGUCAUGUGUGUGUGAGUGUGUGAACAGCCCAUCAACCAAAGGUCGUCUGAAAGUGAAUGCUGAUUAGUGACAGAUCGUUGCUGAGGACAUAGCAACCACAAGUUUGAGAGACAUACAAGCUUGUCAUCUACAUCAGCUACAUCAUAAUGACAGCGAAGAGCCCAACAGGUUACUUGAAGUUAAGAAGUCGUGUUGAAGAAUGGAAAUCACUUUUAAUCGAUAGUAGGGGAGGAAAUGAAUGUUAUCAUCAUGAGCAAAUUAACCACCUCUGAGGGCCUGGCUCAAACAUUCAUUGAUGUAUUUGUUUUGACCUUAAGUAUAAAUUACAUUUCAUUGUUUUAACAAGCAGUUCUGAUAUUUCAUAAAACUAAAAUAAUUUGAAGAAAAAAAGUCAAUCACCGUCACCUCAAACCACUGAGCAAUUCAGUUGUUUAACACACCAACAUAAGUGAACAUCACUAGUGGGGCUUCCACAGUGGAAGCGAUCAAUGCACACCUCACAUCAAUGUUUGAUUGCUAGUGGACAUUUCAGGCUCCAGUUGCCUACGUAACCCUCUGAUGUAUUUACUACUAUGUCCUACGGCAAUCAACACUGCCCUUUGGUCUGACUGGCAGCUUCUUGGAGAAAGGAGACAAACAAACUACAAAAAGAUGUGAUUAGGGUCAUGGUUACUUCCUGCUUCUUAACAUUCACUGAUGAUGACUUAGACCUCUAGUCUUAAAGUGAUCCCUCACUGAUCCUUUGAAUUUAAGGCACUAAUGAAUAUUUAAACUCAUGAUUUUUGUUGAGAAUUAAUAGUGCUGUACUCUCUGUAAUCAUUGGUCCUGAACGUGCAAACGUUAAACUUUAAUCUGGACUUUCACAUUAUGACCAUGUACUUGAGUGCUCACUUCAUAAUGGCCUGAAUCACCUCUCAUUAAGGCUCUUUUUGAGAGAGGAUGAAGGUGAUGGACUAAAGACCUUCACUCUACCCCGAACGUUUGUGUACUGCUGAUGUGAAGCAGUACGGAUUUAUUGGCUUUUAACCUCCAGAUUGCCUCCUUUGUUUUCUCAGCAGUAAUAGCUGAUGGGUGGAUUUCACUGAGGGCAGGUCUAAUGAAAUCAAAAACUCACCUCAUUUCUCUUCCUUUCUCCUCCUUUCUA